GUAGUAACUUAUUAAACCAAUAUAUAAUGGUAGUCUUCAUUAUUUAAAGAAACUCGCUUUAUAAUCGUAAAUACUCGAUAAAUUUAACUACAUUAAAAAGUUUAUAUACCGCCGUUACAAGGAUAAUCAAAACAAAUAACCCUAAAACUUAACAUAAACCUAAAAUCAGGUCAAGGUGUAACCUUUAUUAUAGUAAAAGUAAGUUACAUUAAGUAUUACUUAAGGAAAUUAAAUAAAAAUAAAACAGAAAAAGAAUUUAUUAGUACAUAAUAAUUAAAAACUAAUGUAGAAAUAAAAAUAAAG
rnacentral:rRNA from 1 species